AACGAACGCUGGCGGCAGGCUUAACACAUGCAAGUCGAGCGCCCCGCAAGGGGAGCGGCAGACGGGUGAGUAACGCGUGGGGAUCUACCCAUCUCUACGGAAUAACGCAUGGAAACGUGUGCUAAUACCGUAUACGUCCUUCGGGAGAAAGAUUUAUCGGAGAUGGAUGAGCCCGCGUUGGAUUAGCUAGUUGGUGGGGUAAAGGCCUACCAAGGCGACGAUCCAUAGCUGGUCUGAGAGGAUGAUCAGCCACACUGGGACUGAGACACGGCCCAGACUCCUACGGGAGGCAGCAGUGGGGAAUAUUGGACAAUGGGCGCAAGCCUGAUCCAGCCAUGCCGCGUGAGUGAUGAAGGCUCUAGGGUUGUAAAGCUCUUUCACCGGUGAAGAUAAUGACGGUAACCGGAGAAGAAGCCCCGGCUAACUUCGUGCCAGCCGCCGCGGUAACAC
rnacentral:rRNA from 1 species